rnacentral:rRNA from 1 species
GAUUCUGGCUCAGGAUGAACGCUAGCUACAGGCUUAACACAUGCAAGUCGAGGGGCAGCGGGGACUGUGCUUGCACAGUUGCCGGCGACCGGCGCACGGGUGAGUAACGCGUAUCCAACCUUCCCCUUAGUAGGGCAUAGCCCGUAGAAAUGCGGAUUAAUACCCUAUGUUCUUCGUCGAGGACAUCUGAAGUGAAGCAAAGAUUUAUCGCUAAGGGAUGGGGAUGCGUCUGAUUAGGCAGCAGGCGGGGUAACGGCCCACCUGGCCGACGAUCAGUAGGGGUUCUGAGAGGAAGGUCCCCCACAUUGGAACUGAGACACGGUCCAAACUCCUACGGGAGGCAGCAGUGAGGAAUAUUGGUCAAUGGUCGAGAGACUGAACCAGCCAAGUAGCGUGCAAGGAUGACGGCCCUAUGGGUUGUAAACUGCUUUUAUGCGGGGAUAAAGUGCGGCACGUGUGCCGUUUUGUAGGUACCGCAUGAAUAAGGACCGGCUAAUUCCGUGCCAGCAGCCGC